CAGUAGCCGCGGGAAUACGGAGGGUGCAAGCGUUAAUCGGAAUUACUGGGCGUAAAGCGUGCGUAGGCGGCUUUUUAAGUCGGAUGUGAAAUCCCUGAGCUUAACUUAGGAAUUGCAUUCGAUACUGGGAAGCUAGAGUAUGGGAGAGGAUGGUAGAAUUCCAGGUGUAGCGGUGAAAUGCGUAGAGAUCUGGAGGAAUACCGAUGGCGAAGGCAGCCAUCUGGCCUAAUACUGACGCUGAGGUACGAAAGCAUGGGGAGCAAACAGGAUUAGAUACCCCAGUAGUCCCUGUCUCUUAUAC
rnacentral:rRNA from 1 species